CGGCCUUUAUAGGAGUAGGGGAGCGUGUUGAGAUAGAUAGACGUCCAAUCCUGCAGCAGCUAGUUGCUCGGCCUUAGUCUUGGGCUGAUCUCAGACUUCAAUCAACCCCUUCGUACUUCGAUCCAAUCAAUCGAUCGAUCAAGAGGCUAAUCUCUUUUGUUUGGGCCGGUAGCUAAAAGAAAGUCCUCGCUUUCUCUUGAACAAGGGAAGGGCAGCAUAGCAUUAGCUUCAAUUG
rnacentral:lncRNA from 1 species